AUUGAACGCUGGCGGCAGGCCUAACACAUGCAAGUCGAACGAGUGGCGGACGGGUGAGUAAUGUCUGGGAAACGGCCUGCUGGAGGGGGAUCACUACUGGAAACGGUAGCUAAUACCGCAUACCAUCGGAUGUUCCGAGAUGGGCAUAGCUAGUAGGUGGGGUAACGGGUCACCUAGGUGACGAUCCCUAGCUGGUCUGCGAGGAUGACCAGCCACACUGUAACUGAGACACGGUCCAGACUCCUACGGGAGGCAGCAGUGGGGAAUAUUGGACAAUGGGCGCAAGCCUGAUGCAGCCAUGCCGCGUGUAUGAAGAAGGCCUUCGGGUUGUAAAGUACUUUCAGCGGGGAGGCGUUACCCGCAGAAGAAGCACCGGCUAACUCCGUGCCAGCAGCCGCGGUAAUUC
rnacentral:rRNA from 1 species